AUCAACUAAUUGUAGGUGUGUGACCACUUAGCACUCUCUGUUUGGGGAAUGUAGAACAGCUGAGGUCUUCUGAGCUGCGUGUGGCUUCCUACUUCUGCUCUGAGCUUCACAAUGGUGGAAAUGAAGCCCUGGUGAUGCUGGUUGACCUUUGCUGUGAGCUGCACAGAUGCCUCUGCAGAACGACAUGAUGAGGAAGAGUACCAGCUCCCAAAAUGCCUCAAUGUUUCAGUUUUUUCCCACAGCUCUGAGAAGAGAGGGGAUCCAAAGACUCACAGAGGGCAAGAGCUGCUUUGUGAGGACCACGGUCUACAAGAAGGGGCUUUGUGCUUUAUGUAAGCCACACCAGGAGCGGCAUUAAUGACUGUCAGCAUUCUCCGAUCUGAGGAGUUUGGACUCGGACUCGUUUGGGACUUAAACCUAUAAACUACUGGAUAUAGGGCCCUGGUUCCCCUGCGUGAGGGUUUCUCUUUCUGUCUGUGCCUGUGGGGUUUUGGAUGAAAAUGUGCUAUAAUUCAGCUGCUGCUGGGAAGCGGGGAGCCUGCAGCCGUGAUGGGAGUCGAACCCGCCCCCACAAGACGCCCACGUGUCAGUGGCGCAGUUUUACCGGCUGCGUCUAUCUCUAUCACCCGCGCGUCAUCCCCAAACCGCGAGCAACGGCGUCUUGCGUCACUCAGCCGCUCUGAGAAAGGACUCGUGUUGCCUUCUGGCAGAAUCCAGCAGAUGAGUCAAUUCUGUUACUCUCACACAGACCACUGCUGCAGUGCACUCCGCAGAGGAUUUGUAAUUCGUCAACGGCCGUAAAGACAGGCUGGAUGUCCAGCCUCAUGCUCUGCUGUAGAAGCCCAAAUGAUCUCUGGAGCCUAUCCAGAGCUCUCAAGAAACAGGUGUUUGUUUUGGAAAAUUUUUACAUUCCUCCAUUUUAUUUGAAAAAAAAGUCUGGUGGUUUUGUAGGAAUUGGGUCUGGAACAGUCAUGUUUCCCAUAAAGAGCAGUUUUAAUUGUACAAUUGUUUAAUGCAUUUGGCUGUAAAUUGUUUAUUAAUCUCUCUUGAUGUUUUGCGAAGCUGUCUUGUCAUUCGCCAAGAAAAUAUUUUGCGUUUGA